rnacentral:rRNA from 1 species
UGGGGAAUUGUUCGCAAUGGGCGCAAGCCUGACGACGCAACGCCGCGUGGAGGAUGAAGGUCUUCGGAUCGUAAACUCCUGUUGCCCGGGACGAAUGGCUCCGACCUAAUACGUCGGAGUGUGACGGUACCGGGUGAGGAAGCCCCGGCUAACUCUGUGCCAGCAGCCGCGGUAAUACAGAGGGGGCAAGCGUUGUUCGGAAUUACUGGGCGUAAAGGGCGCGUAGGCGGCCCGCUAAGUCGAACGUGAAAUCCCCGGGCUCAACCCGGGAACUGCGUCCGAUACUGGCGGGCUUGAAUCCGGGAGAGGGAUGCGGAAUUCCAGGUGUAGCGGUGAAAUGCGUAGAUAUCUGGAGGAACACCGGUGGCGAAGGCGACAUCCUGGACCAAUUCUGACGCUGAGGAGCGAAAGCCAGGGGAGCAAACGGGAUUAGAUACCCCCGUAGUCCCUGAGCGGGCUGGCAAGGCGCAU